CUCAGUGCUGGCUCCUGAGAGUUGCUGGGCUUGGAGUGCCCAGGUUAGCUUGGCAGCCAGCCCUCUUAACAGCCACAUGUCUUAGACAAGCAGCCUUCUCCCAGGAAUUUUGUGUGGCAGACUUUUUGAUAAGCAAAAGAGGAGAAUAGCUGGCAGUGGCUAUCAGCUCUUCCUCGUUGAGCACCUGAUGCCCAAGUGUGACAGGGUGUGGGAAAAGCUGAGCACCAUCUCCUGGAAGCAGCAAAUAUAAACCCACAACAGCAACAGAUGCCGGACCUGAUGCCCUACCUGGGAGCACUGUGACCAAGCCUGAUUUCUGUCUGGCUGCUCUUCUUCGUUGCUGCAUGCCUGGGGAUGAGCUCAGCCAACAUGUAGCUGUGGCUAACCUGGGCAUGCAGUGGACCGAGCUCUGAGGGAUCUGUGCACUGUGCAGAUGAGCUGGAGAGUGGGAUGGGCUGCACAGUCAUUCCUGGGGGCAACAGCAACAUGAUUCUCAGCGAUGGUCAGUGUUUGGCUCCCGUAUGCUGUGCAGGAGAGUAGGAUUUGCCAUCAGGGCUGGCAAGAAGGACUGGGCUGGGUCAGCCUGGCAGGAGGCAGGAUGAUGCCUGUGAGACCCAGUUAGAGGCUGCCUAUAAAUCCAGUGUAGGUUGCUGCCUGGUAAGCUCAGCCCACAGCCACCUGCAAACCUGCAGAAGAGAGGGCUGCAUCUCCCCAGGCUAUUCCUGCAGUCUCUAUGCUUUGAUAUGGCUCCCCCUUUUGCGUUUGUUCCCUCUCCCCUGGUCUAACCUCUGAAACAGUUGCAGUGAAUCACAUACUUUCCCUAUUAACCCACCAGCCAGUGCUGCUGGCUCAGAUAGUGACAGGGACAAUGUGAACUCUCCUGUUCCUCUCAAAAUCACAGAGAGGACAGUGAGGGACCCUUGGAAAUGCUCUGGAUGCAUCUGCAGGACCAGCUUGUGCCAUGCUCACCUCUGGUGUGAUCUACCCCCAGAUCUCUCCCAAGAGAGCCCACCUGUAUCACUCAGGGCAGAUGACAAAGCUCUUUGAAAGUGCCUUGGGGGUUGAAGAUGGAGCCCUGUGACUACUGUGAGCUGCAGGACAAGGAGACAUUCAUCUUCAGUCUCUUCCCUUGCAGAUGGUGGAGAGGAGGCUCUUGUUCAGGAAGGGCAGUGGCUUCCCAGCCCAAGGCUUGAAAUUGCUGCUGUGGGGAAUGCCUGUGGUGUAGGUACCAGCAAGCCCAUGGAAAUCCUCCUCAGUAUGUACAGAUGCAGAGGGGUGUGGAGAUGAGGGGGCUCUGCUCUGGAGCAUGAGCUGCCCGGGGCUUGGUUUUUUCACCAGCUCCAAAUUUGUGAAGUGAUGAGCGGCAUGGCUCCAUUUCCCCACACGGCCCCUUUCCCUCUCCCCUCCUUCCAGGCUUGUGUGUCUUUAUUGAUUUGGAUGGUUUGUCUGAGUGAGAGUUCAAAUGUCUCACUAUCCCCAUGAGUGGGCAAGCAAACAGACAAACAGAUAUGAUCCUGGAAUGUAGACAUGAGUGAUGACCCACACAUUAUCCUGAGUGUGUGUUUGUGUGCCUCUGUUCUUCUGUGCCCCUCUGCAUGUACUCUUCCUUUACCAUUUUAGUUUUUUUGCCUCUCCU